rnacentral:rRNA from 1 species
UGGGGAAUAUUGCACAAUGGGCGCAAGCCUGAUGCAGCCAUGCCGCGUGUAUGAAGAAGGCCUUCGGGUUGUAAAGUACUUUCAGCGGGGAGGAAGGGAGUAAAGUUUAUACCUUUGCUCAUUGACGUUACCCGCAGAAGAAGCACCGGCUAACUCCGUGCCAGCAGCCGCGGUAAUACGGAGGGUGCAAGCGUUAAUCGGAAUUACUGGGCGUAAAGCGCACGCAGGCGGUUUGUUAAGUCAGAUGUGAAAUCCCCGGGCUCAACCUGGGAACUGCAUCUGAUACUGGGAAGCUUGAGGCUCGUAGAGGGGGGUAGAAUUCCAGGUGUAGCGGUGCAAUGCGUAGAGAUCUGGAGGAAUACCGGUGGCGAAGGCGGCCCCCUGGACGAAGACUGACGCUCAGGUGCGAAAGCGUGGGGAGCAAACAGG